AAUAUUAUGUACAAACGUAUCAUAUAGGACUUCAGAAAGUCAUAAUAAGCAAUAGUAUAUUAUAUAAUGAUACAAAAAAUUAUAUAUAUUAUUCAGGAUAUCGUAUAUACUCACAGAAAAUCAUAUAAGGCAUUCGAAAGUAAUAACAUUGUUCUUUCUUUGUUUUACGAAAAAAAGAUAUUUUUGUUAGAAAAACAUUGAGAAAAAAAUUGAACAGUAUUAAAUAUCUACCCAACUAUUAAUUGCUCAAUGUGAACCAACUGACAGCCACAGUACGCUCCACAUCAAUUUUGCUGCACUAUGAAGAAAAGAUUGCACGCU
rnacentral:lncRNA from 1 species